ACUCGGUUAUGGAAACAGUCACUAUCUCGCACAUGGAAACGAGUCGCGUCCCUUUAAUUUAAAGGUUUCUGUUAAUAAUUUGUGCAAUUAGCCUCAUUUGAAACAUAUUAAAACUAAGCAGAUUCCAACACAUUUGAACGGAAAUGACGGAACAGCUGACUGGAAAAUUUAUGGAUCAGUUGGAAUCCUGGAUAGGAACAGGACCCAAGAUCUUCACCCUGCUCUACAAGAUAACCAGGGAUGGAUGUAACGCUACAACCUUUCACCAGAAGUGUGACAACCAGGGACCCACUGUGACGGUGCUGUACAACCAACAGGGCUCUGUUUAUGGUGGAUACGCUAGUGCAAACUGGAAUAGCCCAGGCGCAUACAUUCAAGAUGGAAAUGCCUUUCUGUUUCAACUGAAGUUUUCUGGAUCAGAAAAGUUCACUAAAUUUCCAUUAGUCAAUGCUGUAAAUGGGAUGUAUGGACUGGCUACAUACGGGCCGACAUUUGGCUCUGGUCACGAUCUGUACACCUUUAGUGGGAGUAUCAACCCUGCGGGAGGCAUUUUUACACUUAAUGGUUAUAUUAAGUUGGGAACCUCUUACAGCAAUCAAGGUGUUACUGUUGAUCAGAUCAACAACGACACAAUGGCGGUGACAGAACUAGAGGUCUACCGCCUGACAGAUGGUGAAGUUACUCCAUGGCGAAAGACACCUGAGUGGAACGAAAAGUUCCUAGAGACACUCAUGGAAGACAUCGUUGCGUUCAAGCCACCCCGAGAGAUGGGACUUUCAGAGGUCCGGGUUUUGAUGUUGGGUCCCGUGGGGUCGGGCAAGUCGAGCUUUUACAACACCAUCAACUCCAUCUUCAAGGGCCGCAUAUCACAAAGGGCUCGGAGCGGGAAAGCUUCACACAGCAUCACAACUGUGUACACGCCUCAUGUGACAAAGAGUCGGUCUGGGUCGGCGCUUAAUUUCCGGCUUUGUGACACCCGGGGAUUAGAGGCAACACAGGGCUUGAACAUCCUCGAGUGCAACUAUCUGCUGGAUGGUCACGUGCCAGAUUACUAUGAGUUCAACCCAGCUCUACCAAUAACAUCGGAAACACAUGGCUUCGUAGAAAAGCCGUCUUUCGCAGAUAAAAUUCACUGUGUAGCGUUUGUCGUGGACGCGUCCUGCAUCGAAGGCAUGCCACCAAAACUCGUUGAAAAAAUUAUCAGCAUUCAGGAAAUCAUGAAUCACAAAGGGAUUCCUCAAGUCGUUUUGUUGAACAAGGUUGAUCUAGCAUGCAGGAAAGUAGCAGCAAAAGUUGAAAGCGUGUUUAAAAGUGCAAGCAUCCACGAGGUGGUUGAGAAAGUAUCAACGAUGUUCGGUUUGCAGUUUAACAACAUCUUCCCGGUAAAGAACUACGUGUCUGAGAUGGAAUUGGACGUUGACACGAGCAUCAUUGCCUUACUUGCUUUAAGGCAGAUUCUGUAUCUGACCGAGGAUUACAUUGAGGGUCUGCAGGAGAAGCUGAAAAGAGUUAAGGUGUCGACUGUUAAGAAUAAACAAUCAUCUGAAAAAUACGAUGAGAAGGAUUAGUAAUAUAAUUGUGUGCAUACAAAGAAGUGUUGCACUUAAGAUAUUACCAGGUUUAAGAAGUUAAAACAGUAAUGUUCUAAUCUCUAAACUAAGAGGACAAUCAUCUACAACAUGGUUUCUAUGAAUAAAGGCGAAUAAAUGCGAUCCAAAAUCUCUCUAUUGAUUUUAGUUUUGUGAAAGAUAUGCAACAACACAAAAUAAUAAUUAUAAUUAUUACAAAUUUAUUAAAUGGAAUGGACAGUGUGUAAUUAGUUUCAUAGUUUGGAUUACUUUUGAACACACAUUGUAUGUUUAUGUUAACAUGUUAUGUUUUCUUGUUAAUUUUGUUGACAUUAUUUUGACUUCAUUUCAAUUUAUUUACCAUUGUUUUGCAUUGCAUACUGUACGUAUUGUUAAGUAAUAAUGUGUGUAAGUGAGCAAACGUUGUCAAUACGAGUUCAGUGAAUUUUAUAUGGCUUGCGUGGUCCAUACUUAUUGUUCUUAUGUAUAUGUAAUAUUACAGUACUUAUUAAACUAUAAUCACGGUGAUUAUUUAAAAUAACUAUAAUCACACUAAUCAUUAAAAUGAUUUUUACAUUCGAACACUUUGUAUGAACCAGGCAAGUACAAUGUAAAGUGUUUGCUACAUCAUACAUUCUGCUACAUACGUAUUUUGCUGUAUUUUUUAGAUUUACUGUAAAUACUAAUUCUAGUCAAGGUUUUUGGUGUUAUGUGGAAAGUUAUAAAAUUUGUGAUAAGUGCUUUUAUUAUUAAUUUCGCCAUAAAUACUAUUAAAUGAUUAAGUAUUGUUUAAACUUGCAAUACAUG